AUUCAAUUCAGCAACUUCCCUUUGCUCUUUGAAACCUGCUUCCCCUAGGGAACCGCUUGUGUGACUGAGGGAAAUAGAAGAGAAAGGUAGAGUGGAAAUUGAUUUCUUGCGGAGACUGAGGCGCCGAAUGAUAGAGGGAAUAAACAGUUGCUCUCGAUAAAAAUGUUCUUGGCUGUACUCCAGCCCUUAUGAUGUCCUAGACCAGAAGCUUUUCUUCAAUUAUCUCAGUUCACCAAAAGGAUGAUUUCCAUAAAUUUCUGUGUUUUACAUGGGCUGACAGGUGUUGUUAGGAGCAUCUGAGGUCCACAUAAAGAGGAUGAAUAUUCUACACUACAUUCAUUCCAAAUACAACCUUAACAGUUGUAAUAGACAGAAAGCUUAUUUUUCAUAUAAGAUUUCAAUGUGCUGCCUAAACAUAUUUACCUAUCUGUUAUUUGAAAAAAUACAGUUAUUUGUUGAGGACUCAAGUUGAUUUACAUUAGAAAAUGUGACAUUCGAAUUUUUACUUUUAUGUGAAAUAAAUGUGAGGUUGUUUUUCUUUUAAAUAUUUGUAGAAGAAAAUUUCAGAAUUAAAUAUAUUAAUUUUGCAUUCCUGAACUUUAAAAUAGUUUACAGCACUUAAAGUUUACAAAACAAUGUAAGUAUUUGAGUAUUAUAUUAAAUUGUAUGAUUACAUUUGAUCAAUUCUCAAACUAGAGCCAUAGGCUUUUUAUCUCCUACUUGGCAUUUAUUUUAAUUUGCCUAGUUUGUUCUUAGAACUACCUCAAAAGUUGUUUUUUGUUGUUGUUGUUGUUUUUUAAUUUUGUGUAUGUCCUUUCCUGGAUAAUUUAAUUGCACAUCUGCAGUAUUUUAGCACAAUUUGUAUUACUGGUAAUGUUUUUUUGUUUGCUAUCUUGGCUCCUUCUUCUUUAAGUAUAUGGAUGCCAUCUAACAUUUCUUACCUAUUAGUCCACUAAAAUUUCUAAUCUAAAAGUAACAUUUAAGACAUACUGUAUUAGGCAAAUUGUGAAGCAAUUUGUUUAUGAAACAAAAUGUCAAUAACCUUCAGAUAAUUUUAACCUUAAAUCAGAUUUAUAACAAAAAUGUGUUAUAGUAAGUAAACUCAAACUUUCCUUGUAUACAAAAGUCAUAAAAACAUAUACAUUUAUGCAUAUGUAAUUACCCUCCUUAUAUUUAAAUUUACUCAUUUUAAACUUUGCUAUUUGUUUUAUUUUAGAGCUAAAGUGUCAAAAGUUUUAUAAAUACCUAAGUGUGCAAGCAUCUUCAUGUCUUACUUCAUAAGAUCAAUAAAAUAUUAGAUAAACAACUAAUAUAUUCAAAUCUUACAAAAAGUACAGAAGUCCCUCCUUAUCCAUAGGGUACAUGUUCCAAAACCCCCAGUGGAUUCCUGAGACUAUGGAUAGUACAAACUCUACAUAGACUGUGUUUUUCCUAUACAAACAUACUUACAAUAAAAGUUUAAUUUCUAAAUUAGAUACUGUAAGAGAUUAGCAAUAACUAAGAAUAAAAUAGAAUAAUUAUAAUAUACUGUAAUAAAAGUUAUGUAAAUGUGGUCUCUCAAACACUCUUAUUGUCACCCUUCUUGUGAUUAUACGAGAUGAUAAAAUGCCUUGUUGAUAAAAUGAAGUGAGAUGGACAUAGACAUUGCGACAUCAUCAGGCUGCUGUUGAUCUUCUGAAAACACAUCAGAAGGAGGAUCAUCUGCUUUCAGAGCACGGGGUUGGUCGCCAGUAACUGACACCAUGUAAAGUGAAACCAGGGAUAAAGGGAGACUACUGUAUGUUGGAACUUGAAGGAACUUCAGAGAUCAUUUAGUCUAACUCCUCCAUUAUGGUGAAGAAAUUGAGAACUGGGGAGACUGUGAUUAAUGUAGUUAUACACUAACAAUUCAAAGAACUUUAAAUGUAGUUUUCCUAAUUUCUUCAUUGGUAUUAAUUCUAAACCAAUUAAAUGCUAUUCCUAGCUUCUAAAACAGGUAUUGCUUGAGGCUGGGACAGGGAAUACAUGAAAGAAAGAGAAAGUGGUACAAAGAUGAAUUACUCAUAGGGUUCUUGGAGUUUAUUUUGUUGAUAAAAUACUCUUCACUGUAGAAUGUCUUUAUUUCCCUGCCUUGGUUUACCCUCCUCCGCCACCCCACUCCCACCCUCUGUGAUAAGGGAAUAUUUCAUGAUGUGAUUUUACUUUGUCACAUAAGAUUCUCAGUGUUCUUUGGGUAUACGCAUUGGUUUGUUCUGCAGAUUAUUUUAAACUGUAGAUAAUUUAAAGCCUCUGCAAUAUCACACUCUUUCAUGUCACAUCUGCAUUCUACUUUUUUAAGUGUCUACCAACAUAACAAAUAAAAUUGUAUCAAGAAAAAAGCCAUCAUCUCAAAGUAAGGUUUUAAUUAGACUGUGACUUACAUUUGACAUCACACACACACAAACACACACAAACACACGCACACACUAUGAAAAAAAAACAGAUUGAGAUAAUGCAUUGUGAUAGACAUGUUCUUGGUAAGUUAUCUUAUUUUGCAAACAUGCAAAAAAAUUCCAUGUUGCUUUAAAAAAUGGCUUUCUUAAUUAGGAGAAAAGCUGUAAGACUUCAGCCAUUUUCUGGAAAAUCGACUUCGUUCUUUCAUAUACAUCAGUUUUGAGUAUUAUGUGCAAGCUAUUGUUUUCGGAAAUGGCAAGUCUGAAAGACAAACAUCAACACUGCAAUCUAUUGCCAGUUACCAUUACUUCAAAGAGGUUAUCAUUCCUGGAUUAAACAAGACAAGAAUAGAAUAAAAUCUAAACACAUUUUAAAAUGCUUACAAUGUGCACUUAUAAAAUAGAAAUUUUGCACUAAUCUAAAAUAUUGCAAAAGAGGGAACACAUAUGAGAAAAAAUUUAUAUUGAUUAAUUUAUGCUUUAAUGGUUGAAAAUAAAAUGCACCCUUAUUUCAAAACACAUUUGUUGAUGAAUAAAAUGUCUAAUUUUAAAGGGAAAAAUAAGUAGACUCAUAGAAUUAUUUUAAAAGCCUCCUGUCGGCCUAUUUCUUUCAAUAGAUCAUCUUAAUAUCAAUCGUGUGAUUUAGUUAUAAACAGCUCAUAUAUGAAGUAAUAGUUUCAAAGAGCCUAAUUAAUUUGCCAAAAGUCGCAAACAAAGUAGAUUCAGAAUUGGAAAAAGUUUUAUGGCUCCAAAGUCAGGGUGAAUUUCCUUGUAUCUUCUAGUACAUAAAGUUCUGGGAUAAUAAAAGUAUUCCGGAAGCAUGUGUUAAGCAGCAUUUGUAUUGCUGUAUGUGUUCUUGUGUGAUUGAUAAUGUCUUCACAUGUAUGUUUAGAGCCUAGCCUAUUUCAAAGCACUAUCAGUUCUACGAUUGUGUUUUUUCAUGUUCAUUUUCUCCACUCCCUCACUGCGUAUCUCUACCACAUAGGACAGAACACUGUCAAAGAAGAAGCUCAGUAAGUAUGAAUUUAAUUGAUGAGAUUAAGUACUUCACCAAACUUUCCUUCUUUAACAUUCUGUGCUUGCUGUACCUAAUUCUUAGGGAACAUUCAGAAAUAUUUUUACUAAAUGACAAUAUUCCUCAAAAUACUUUCAGAAUAUUUGACAUAUAUUUGGCCUAAUAAGCCAUGUUAAAAAUGACAACACUUCACCAAAUAAUGUGACUUUGUAUUUUAAUACAUACCUUCCUACCCACCAUACUAAUUUAAUUCUCUCAUUAUACUGCAAAUUAAACCAUUGUGUUUACUUGAAAUGAAAGAAAUAUGGUAUGAAGAAAUUGAAGCACUGUUUUUCAUUACUAAAAGAAAUAAUUGAGUUCUUUUUAUUCACCACAUUCUAUUUCUUAAUUUGUUACACGGAAGAAGUAAUAUAAUGGAAAUAUCAAAUUAUUUGUUAAUUUUAUUAAAUUAUGUGGGUGAAAAUUCAUCUGUCAACAUUUGCAAGUAAAAUAUAAUAAUAAAAGAGUGAAAUGUUUCUAACAUUAUGAACUGAAUUAUAAAACUAUCAGUUUGUAUGACAUUUUGCUAUUCAGAAUUCUCAGAAUUAAGAUUUUUUUCAAUAUUAUCAAAACUGGUUAUUUCCUAAAUUAUUUGUACUACCAAAAUCUAUUCCUCAGUGUAAUGACCAAAAUGUAUUCAUUGGCUUAAUGGUUGUAUGAAUUAAUGUGUUAUCAAUUGGCAUGUAUAAACUUGUACAGUUUUUAAACUAACUUACAAAAAUAACAAUAUUGAAAACACUCAAGGAAAUGAUCUGAUACAACUUCCUUACAAUCCUUCUUAGUAUCUGGAUUUCAAUGACUACUGAAGUGUAGUAGAACAAUAGCUCCCCAAAUGCUCACAUUCCAGUUCUCAGAAUGUGUGACUAGGUUACCAUGUAAGCAAAAGAAAGUUUGCAAAUUUUAUUACUUUAAGGACUUUUGACAAACAGAGAGUAGCCUGGAUUCGCUCUAUCUGCCUCAUGUCAUCACGAAGUAUCUCUGCAAAGGAAGACAGAGAGAGAAGAGUCAGGAAAGGAGAUGGGACGACAGAAACGGAUGGAGUGACGGGGAGCCACUAGCCAAAGAAUGCAGACAGGACGCCCUGUAAAAACCGGAAAAGGGAAGGACGCAGAUUCUUCCUUAGAGCUUCCAAAAUAAAUGAAGCCUGGCUACCCAUUUUAGAUUUCUGACAUCUGAAUCUGUAAAUUGAUAAAUUUGUGUUUUAAGAUAUGAUCUAUUUGUGAUAUUUUGAUAACAGCAGCAAUAGGAAAUUAAUAGAGCCAGCAAUGCAAAGAGUUGAAAAAUAAGUAGUAUGUUCUUUUCUCUCUAGAGACUUUAUGAUUUCACAGCAAACACUUGCUUCAAGGCCACUCCAUUCCUCUUGGUGCUGAAAAAACCACUGUCUUUUAUCAUGAGGAAACUUGAUUUCAUCAAGAGUCAUGUUGGUUCUUCUAGCUUGAUUGUAUAGCACAUGGAUAGGGCCAGCAUGUGAAGGAGGAGACGUAACAAUUUCCAGAAAUAAACUAGUAAUUUAAAGACUUAUUACAUACCUUUAUUCAUUUGGAAUAUACCAUUUACCAGAGACCUACACAUAUUAGCACCAAGUACAUAACUAAUUAGGUUAUAGCAAAUCUUGAUACAGAUGUAAGAAAGUGAGUAAUAACCAUUCCAUUUGAACAGUCUAUGACAAACAUAUGCUUGAAGAAAAAACAUUAAGCACAAGAUUAACUGUAGAAGACAAUGGAAAUUAGCAAAAUAUUAAAAUAAAUGUGAGAUCUAAAAUGAGACCACAGAGAAUGACUGACAGUGGGGGGAUUUUGAUUUUCAUGGAAAGAUUGACAGAAAGCACUCUGAUGGUUUUCUCCUUUCCUUUUUCACAGUAUUGCAAUCAAGAAAAGGAACUGAAUAUUUACUUAAUUAGGAUGCAUCAUUAAUUCUAGUGUCUCAUGAACUCC